CUCAGCUCUGCCGGUAUCACUAUCUGAGCCAUGUCCAAUUGGCCACUGCUGCAAUCCCCAGCCAACAUCUGAUGGUUCUGUUGUCUCCAUCCUGUCCAGUUUCAACUUCCAUCAUAUAAGACCAACUCCCAGUUGACUCAGACUUUCUUACUGAAUGCUGGAGCCCAGUGUUCCCACUGCCCUACCAUUCAAUUAUGCUGUAGGGGGUAUCAGUAUCUUCUUUCAGAUUUAAACUGACUUCGGAAAAAGAGAAGAUGAAGAAAUUACAAAGCCUUAUCAGAUAAAUGCUCAGCAAUCAGAAAAAAAGCACAUCACCUCAUCAUCAUCUUUUUUACUCCCUGCAGGACUUAGCAAAAGACUUACCUAUUACUUUAGAGAUUGGAUGGUCCAGUCUAGUGGAAAGAACAUUUCCAUGAGAAUCUGACAUCUUGGAUUUAAAUUUCAGACUGUAUGCAAGGUAAGCCAUGGUUACUUAAACCUCUCUGUUUCCCAAAUUCAAUACAGUGCUUAUAAGUUUCGAUUCAUGAGUUAUUGAGAGAAUUAAAUAAAACAUGCAAAAGUGUUUUGAGGUUUACA
rnacentral:lncRNA from 1 species